GGGGAUAUAAUUCAAUAGGUAGAAUCUUGAUUUUGCACGUUAAAUACUUAGGUUCAAUUCCUAAUAUCUCCA
rfam:Metarhizium majus ARSEF 297 Scaffold_95, whole genome shotgun sequence.